rnacentral:piRNA from 1 species
UGUGAUAUGUGAUCAACCUAUCUCCCUUAAU